UGGGCUCGAAGCGCAGUGGACCGGGGUAGAAAUAUCCCUUUUCGCAAGAACUGCUGCGGAGGUGCUGCAUGGCUGUCGUCAGCUCGUGUCGUGAGAUGUUGGGUUAAGUCCCGCAACGAGCGCAACCCUUAUCGUUAGUUGCCAGCGAGUCAAGUCGGGCACUCUAGCGAAACCGCCCCGGAUAACGGGGAGGAAGGUGGGGAUGACGUCAAGUCCUCAUGGCCUUUAUGUCCAGGGCUACACACGUGCUACAAUGGCCGGUACAAACCGUCGCAAACCUGCGAAGGGGAGCUAAUCGGAAAAAGCCGGCCUCAGUUCGGAUUGGAGUCUGCAACCCGACUCCAUGAAGCUGGAAUCGCUAGUAAUCGCGGAUCAGCACGCCGCGGUGAAUACGUUCCCGGGCC
rnacentral:rRNA from 1 species